UGUAAAUUUCAUCCUUGUUGUACCAAGCCAUAAUUUCAUUUCUUCUUCAGGCUAAUGGAGUGGAUAGACAUCUUCCCCCUCUAAGUGCUGGGAAUCAAACACAGGGCCUCUUGCAUACUAGGUUGACAGUGGGCCGCAUUCCCUUCGAAGGCUGAAUGGGAAGCUGAAAGACUGAGGACAGCAGUCAGGGAGAUCUAUACUCUUGGAACAUUCCAGUGAAGUGUGUGGGAGAAGGAAAUGGACCAGGUGGGAUCAAAUUCUCUUAGGUGAGUUCCCCACCCUCUUCCUGCUUUGGAAAUGACUUCAGUUUUAGAGAAAGAAGAUAA
rnacentral:lncRNA from 1 species